GGGNNUUUGGNCAUGGGCGCAAGCCUGNUCCAGCAAUGCCGCGUGCAGGAUGAAGGCCUUCGGGUUGUAAACUGCUUUUGUACGGAGCGAAACGGUCUGCCCUAAUACGGUGGGCUAAUGACGGUACCGUAAGAAUAAGCACCGGCUAACUACGUGCCAGCAGCCGCGGUAAUACGUAGGGUGCAAGCGUUAAUCGGAAUUACUGGGCGUAAAGCGUGCGCAGGCGGUGAUGUAAGACAGAUGUGAAAUCCCCGGGCUCAACCUGGGACCUGCAUUUGUGACUGCAUCGCUAGAGUACGGUAGAGGGGGAUGGAAUUCCGCGUGUAGCAGUGAAAUGCCGUAGAUAUGCGGAGGAACACCGAUGGCGAAGGCAAUCCCCUGGACCUGUACUGACGCUCAUGCACGAAAGCGUGGGGAGCAAACAGGAUUAGAUACCCUGGUAGUCCACGCCCUAAACGAUGUCAACUGGUUGUUGGGUCUUCACUGACUCAGUAACGAAGCUAACGCGUGAAGUUGACCGCCUGGGGAGUACGGCCGCAAGGUUGAAACUCAAAAGAAUUGACGGA
rnacentral:rRNA from 1 species